rnacentral:rRNA from 1 species
UACGGGGGGGAGCAAGCGUUGUUCGGAUUUACUGGGCGUAAAGGGCGCGUAGGCGGCCACCGCAAGUCGACUGUGAAAUCUCCAGGCUUAACCCGGAAAGGUCAGCCGAUACUGCGGGGCUAGAGUGCAGAAGGGGCAACUGGAAUUCUCGGUGUAGCGGUGAAAUGCGUAGAUAUCGAGAGGAACACCUGCGGCGAAGGCGGGUUGCUGGGCCGACACUGACGCUGAGGCGCGAAAGCCAGGGGAGCGAACGGG